rnacentral:rRNA from 1 species
UACGGAGGGGGCUAGCGUUGUUCGGAAUUACUGGGCGUAAAGCGCACGUAGGCGGCUUUGUAAGUUAGAGGUGAAAGCCCGGGGCUCAACUCCGGAACUGCCUUUAAGACUGCAUCGCUUGAACAUCGGAGAGGUAAGUGGAAUUCCGAGUGUAGAGGUGAAAUUCGUAGAUAUUCGGAAGAACACCAGUGGCGAAGGCGGGUCUCUGGACAGUUCCUGACGCUGAGGCACGAAGGUCAGGGGAGCAAACGGG